AACUGUUAGAAUAGACAUAUAUCACCCUCGAUAGAUCUGGAGGUUGCAAUUUUAAGGAUUCAUUAUAUAGAAUGGAGAAGUAAAUUCAGAUAUAGCAUAAGUAUUUGCAACGACAAACUUUGAUUUUGUAAGCUUUAUAUUCAUCUCUUCAAUUAACCUCUUCAAUCUUAUACUAUUUGCUUGCGUCAAGUGAUUGAAUAAAAACCAUCAUAUAUUACUGGAAACUUAUCCCUCACAUUAGGUACACAUGCUUAUAAUUCGGAUUUCAAUUUUCUAGGGGCUGGUUUUAUGGUUAUGCAAGCCUCCAGUUGUUUAUGAAUGUAGCAAUCCGCAAACAAAUAUAAGAGAUGCUUUGUUUUGUUGAUUAUUUCAGGCAGGUUCUAUUUUUAUUUUCAAUUGCAUGUGGUAUUUUGGAUUGCAGAGAUCGUCGCAAUUCUUAGUAUGAAGCUUAUUUAUGUCCAGGCCUUUGUUGAUUUUUUUGUAUUGGCUCCUUCCUUUCCUAUUAUUAAGAUACAUGUAGAUGCAGCUUGUUGGAAAUAAUGCUGCUUUGGCACGUUAAGUGCUAUUGCUAGAAAUCAUCUAGCUAGGUUGGAUUCUUAAAGAGUGGAGCAGAGUCUUGUCAGGUAUCAUUUGAUCUAUUAACUUUGGAAUUUUUGGCACUGCGAGAAAGUAUGAUUUGUGGAGUCAGGAAGUAUGGCAGUCAGUAUGCUUUGAAGGAGAUACGCUGAUAGUUAUAGAGGUAGCACAAAACAGGGUCUGUAAUAUAGCAGAGUCCAAGGGCUGUGUGCUGAUAUUUCUUUUCUCUCCUUGAGGUUCACUUUAUAACUUUUGUUAUGUUCCCCGGUUGUAUAUUGUAGAAGCGCAGAACUUGGCUAUUUUAGCUAAACGUAGACAUUUUGCUUUGUACUGAUACUCUUUAUUUUUAAUGCAUCUACUGUUGUUAAGAAAAAUAAAAUAAAC
rnacentral:lncRNA from 1 species